AUUCGAUUAGAGUUUGAUCAUGGCUCAGGACGAACGCUGGCGGCGUGCUUAGCACAUGCAAGUCGAACGGAAAGGCCCUGCUUUUGUGGGGUGCUCGAGUGGCGAACGGGUGAGUAACACGUGAGUAACCUGCCCUUGACUUUGGGAUAACUUCAGGAAACUGGGGCUAAUACCGGAUAGGAGCUCCUGCUGCAUGGUGGGGGUUGGAAAGUUUCGGCGGUUGGGGAUGGACUCGCGGCUUAUCAGCUUGUUGGUGGGGUAGUGGCUUACCAAGGCUUUGACGGGUAGCCGGCCUGAGAGGGUGACCGGCCACAUUGGGACUGAGAUACGGCCCAGACUCCUACGGGAGGCAGCAGUGGGGAAUAUUGCACAAUGGGCGGAAGCCUGAUGCAGCAACGCCGCGUGCGGGAUGACGGCCUUCGGGUUGUAAACCGCUUUCGCCUGUGACGAAGCGUGAGUGACGGUAAUGGGUAAAGAAGCACCGGCUAACUACGUGCCAGCAGCCGCGGUGAUACGUAGGGUGCGAGCGUUGUCCGGAUUUAUUGGGCGUAAAGGGCUCGUAGGUGGUUGAUCGCGUCGGAAGUGUAAUCUUGGGGCUUAACCCUGAGCGUGCUUUCGAUACGGGUUGACUUGAGGAAGGUAGGGGAGAAUGGAAUUCCUGGUGGAGCGGUGGAAUGCGCAGAUAUCAGGAGGAACACCAGUGGCGAAGGCGGUUCUCUGGGCCUUUCCUGACGCUGAGGAGCGAAAGCGUGGGGAGCGAACAGGCUUAGAUACCCUGGUAGUCCACGCUGUAAACGGUGGGUACUAGGUGUGGGGUCCAUUCCACGGGUUCCGUGCCGUAGCUAACGCUUUAAGUACCCCGCCUGGGGAGUACGGCCGCAAGGCUAAAACUCAAAGGAAUUGACGGGGCCCCGCACAAGCGGCGGAGCAUGCGGAUUAAUUCGAUGCAACGCGUAGAACCUUACCUGGGUUUGACAUGGAUCGGGAGUGCUCAGAGAUGGGUGUGCCUCUUUUGGGGUCGGUUCACAGGUGGUGCAUGGCUGUCGUCAGCUCGUGUCGUGAGAUGUUGGGUUAAGUCCCGCAACGAGCGCAACCCUUGUUCACUGUUGCCAGCACGUUAUGGUGGGGACUCAGUGGAGACCGCCGGGGUCAACU
rnacentral:rRNA from 1 species